UACAGAGGGUGCAAACGUUGCUCGGAAUCACUGGGCGUAAAGCGCACGUAGGCGGAUUCUUAAGUCAGGGGUGAAAUCCCGGAGCUCAACUCCGGAACUGCCUUGAUGACUGGGAGUCUCGAGUUCGGGAGAGGUGAGUGGAACUGCGAGUGUAGAGGUGAAAUUCGUAGAUAUUCGCAGGAACACCAGUGGCGAAGGCGGACUCGACUGGCCCGAGUACCUGACGCUGAGGUGCGAA
rnacentral:rRNA from 1 species